AAAACUGUUCCUUCUCCUUUCAUGGGACCUGACCUGACCUGAACUCGGCCCACAUUCUUCCCUAAUCUACAGCUAUCCACCCUUAUCAGUGACCACAACAACGUGAUUGCCUUUUCCCUUACUUAGUAACUUUCCAAACCCCUGGAUCUUAUCCACCCUCAAUUGACCCCACCAUAUACAUUUCUCCUACAUAUAACCAUUAACUUCUGGUGUAGCAAGUAUUUCAAAUUACAACCUAACAAAGAGAAAUGCAGACCGGAGGACUUAGCCUACCAAUUUAAUUAAAUCACCAGAAGAAGCUUACUGAACGGUCUGAAGAAAGCAUUCAGGUGUCAGAAUUCACAGUCAAAGGUGAAUUAGACAAAAUCAAUUUGACCUCAUUGGAACCUUGGGUAAGACCCCCAGUGCCUUAAUGAAGACGGAGAAGCAGCUGAAGAACCUUCAACACAACCAGAGCACCCUGGAAACACCCCUGACCAGGAAGUAGACAGAACGGAUCCAAAGAGAAGUGGCUUUUGAGAAAACGUCAAGAGGUGUCCCGCUGGCAGAGUGUGGUCCUGCAGAACCAGAAGGCAGAACAGCUGGUCUUCCCACUGAACCAGCAGCCCUCUGGCCCAAAACGCAUAGAGCAGGUGGUGGCUGGAUGGAAGGCCCAAACUUUCCUAGAACAAGCAGCCUCUCCAUGACCCUGUUCUGACACCCACUGAGGAGGCCUCUCUGAGGGCCAUAAGUCUGGAGGAAGUGGGUCCCACCUCAAGCAUCCAGCAUGGGGUCAUAUGCAUAAGAUAAGCUAAAUCUAGUGUGUUAGUGCUGGGUAAGUGCAAAGACCUGCACACACUACUGCCCUUGACUUAAUUUUGUAUGUGCACUAAAAGGACAAUGUACUGGAAAAACAACAACGCACAAAAGUUUUUCUAGAUGGUUAUUGAUGGUCUCACUUAUCUACAACCAAUAUAUAAAACUAUAUUUUUUUUGUCAGGCUAAGAUCCGUCGUGCAGAUCUCCAAAAAGCCAGAACUCUAUAGUCUUAUUAUGAAGUGAAAGUCAAAAGGGAAAUAAAAAUAAAAAGCCGGGGCAUAUCCUUCCAAUAUACUGUACAGUUGACCGGGGCAUAUCCUUCCAAUAUACUGUACAGUUGACCGGGGCAUAUCCUUCCAAUAUACUGUACAGUUGACCGGGGCAUAUCCUUCCAAUAUACUGUACAGUUGACCGGGGCAUAUCCUUCCAAUAUACUGUACAGUUGACUGGGGCACAUCCUUCCAAUAUAGUGUACAGUUGACCAGGGCAUGAGUGACUCAGCAGUAAUCCGCUUCAAAAGAUCAUCUCUUUAUUCAAGGCUCCCAAUUCACUCUCUUCCUCCACCUGCCCUCUUUGUACAUAGUGCCGGAUUAUUAUUUUAACCCCCUUUUCUCCCCAAUUUCGUGAUUACAAUCUUGUCUCAUCGCUGCAGCUCCUCAGCGACCAAACUACAGAGGCAUGCUUUUGGCGGCCCGAUCAGCAGCCAGCACUAAUGCUUUAGGAAGUUGGCAACUUGUCCUACAGAUUCCAAAUUCCUGCAGGUACGUUAUUUGCUUCCUGUGUGAACUCAGCCCAAAUGUUCAGGAAAUGCGCAAGGUGUCAUCUCCCAUGCCGCAAUACUAACUUGAAGGACAACACUACUGUGUUUACCUGGAUGCAUGCCACCCAACACCACCAGCACGGUUUACUUUAUGUUAGAACUUAAGAACACCAAAUCUAAUAUUUCAACCUUUGUGAAUCUAUGUAACUAGAUGAUCCAUUUUUGUCUGCACAUACUACAGAAAUGAUAUGAAAUGUCAUUGAAUGUAAUGUAUGAUAAGAAUUCAAAGAAAAUAGAUACAUUUACCAUUAAAUGAUAAUGAUAUGACAAAUUACAA
rnacentral:lncRNA from 1 species